rnacentral:rRNA from 1 species
AGUGAACGCUGGCGGUAGGCCUAACACAUGCAAGUCGAAUGGCAGCACAGUAAGAGCUUGCUCUUACGGGUGGCGAGUGGCGGACGGGUGAGGAAUACAUCGGAAUCUACUUUUUCGUGGGGGAUAACGUAGGGAAACUUACGCUAAUACCGCAUACGACCUACGGGUGAAAGCAGGGGAUCUUCGGACCUUGCGCGAUUGAAUGAGCCGAUGUCGGAUUAGCUAGUUGGCGGGGUAAAGGCCCACCAAGGCGACGAUCCGUAGCUGGUCUGAGAGGAUGAUCAGCCACACUGGAACUGAGACACGGUCCAGACUCCUACGGGAGGCAGCAGUGGGGAAUAUUGGACAAUGGGCGCAAGCCUGAUCCAGCCAUACCGCGUGGGUGAAGAAGGCCUUCGGGUUGUAAAGCCCUUUUGUUGGGAAAGAAAAGCAGCGGGUUAAUACCCCGCUGUUCUGACGGUACCCAAAGAAUAAGCACCGGCUAACUUCGUG